rnacentral:rRNA from 1 species
AUUGAACGCUGGCGGCAGGCCUAACACAUGCAAGUCGAGCGGAUGAAGGGAGCUUGCUCCUGGAUUCAGCGGCGGACGGGUGAGUAAUGCCUAGGAAUCUGCCUGGUAGUGGGGGAUAACGUCCGGAAACGGGCGCUAAUACCGCAUACGUCCUGAGGGAGAAAGUGGGGGAUCUUCGGACCUCACGCUAUCAGAUGAGCCUAGGUCGGAUUAGCCAGUUGGUGGGGUAAAGGCCUACCAAGGCGACGAUCCGUAACUGGUCUGAGAGGAUGAUCAGUCACACUGGAACUGAGACACGGUCCAGACUCCUACGGGAGGCAGCAGUGGGGAAUGUUGGACAAUGGGCGAAAGCCUGAUCCAGCCAUGCCGCGUGUGUGAAGAAGGUCUUCGGAUUGUAAAGCACUUUAAGUUGGGAGGAAGGGCAGUAAGUUAAUACCUUGCUGUUUUGACGUUACCAACAGAAUAAGCACCGGCUAACUUCGUG